rnacentral:rRNA from 1 species
CACGGAGCGGCAAGGCUCCCGGGGAACGAGUGGCAACCACAGCCGGAAGAGGGUGAGUGUGUUCUUCUGGCUACCCACACCGACCGUGGGUUCUCUCUGCCUCCGAGUGUUUUCUUCCGUGGUUUCUUGAAUUUCUUUGGGGCGCAACUCCAUCACUUCAAUCCGAAUUCUAUCGCCUACCUUGCUGCCUUCGUGUCCAUGUGUGAGAACUUCCUGGGUUGCCGACCGCACUGGGGUCUGUUCAAGUAUAUAUUCACUUGUCGUUCUCAAACCGUGAAAAAGGCGAGUCCAGAUGACGAUAAGACCAAGGUUAUUCAGAUGUGUGGAGGUUUGGGGAUUCAGAUGAGGAACAAGAGCACCUUUCCG